GCUUAGGAAUCUGCCUAUUAGUGGGGGACAACAUCUCGAAAGGGAUGCUAAUACCGCAUACGUCCUACGGGAGAAAGCAGGGGAUCUUCGGACCUUGCGCUAAUAGAUGAGCCUAAGUCGGAUUAGCUAGUUGGUGGGGUAAAGGCCUACCAAGGCGACGAUCUGUAGCGGGUCUGAGAGGAUGAUCCGCCACACUGGGACUGAGACACGGCCCAGACUCCUACGGGAGGCAGCAGUGGGGAAUAUUGGACAAUGGGGGGAACCCUGAUCCAGCCAUGCCGCGUGUGUGAAGAAGGCCUUAUGGUUGUAAAGCACUUUAAGCGAGGAGGAGGCUACUUUAGUUAAUACCUAGAGAUAGUGGACGUUACUCGCAGAAUAAGCACCGGCUAACUCUGUGCCAGCAGCCGCGGUAAUACAGAGGGUGCGAGCGUUAAUCGGAUUUACUGGGCGUAAAGCGUGCGUAGGCGGCUUAUUAAGUCGGAUGUGAAAUCCCCGAGCUUAACUUGGGAAUUGCAUUCGAUACUGGUGAGCUAGAGUAUGGGAGAGGAUGGUAGAAUUCCAGGUGUAGCGGUGAAAUGCGUAGAGAUCUGGAGGAAUACCGAUGGCGAAGGCAGCCAUCUGGCCUAAUACUGACGCUGAGGUACGAAAGCAUGGGGAGCAAACAGGAUUAGAUACCCUGGUAGUCCAUGCCGUAAAACGAUGUCUACUAGCCGUUGGGGCCGUUUGAGGCUUUAGUGGCGCAGCUA
rnacentral:rRNA from 1 species